CUUAAGGUUUUUGGACCAAUCAAUUCACCAACUUUUUUUGAAUUUUUUUACCCCGAACUACGAGGUUUUGAUCCUAAUCUUUUUUUAAGAUGGUACGUAGGCAAUGGGUUCAUCCAUUCAAACACAAAAUGCAAAUAAAUUUGUAUAUUCAUUUCUCAUCCCUUCAAUCAUGUUUGCACAAAUAAAUUUUCACAAAAAAAAAAACAACCUUACAACAAAUGUGAAAAGGGCUCCCUAGGAGUACCUAAGAUGCUUUGGGUGUCUAACACC
rnacentral:lncRNA from 1 species